rnacentral:rRNA from 1 species
AUGCCCAGUCGUAAAAUAUUAACUUACGCACAAAAACGCCCGGGAACUACGAGCUCUAGCUUAAAACCCAAAGGACUUGACGGUGUCCCACCCAACUAGAGGAGCCUGUCCUAUAAUCGAUGGUCCCCGAUAUACCCAACCUUUUCUUGCUCAUCAGUCUGUAUACCUCCGUCGCAAAUCUACCAUAUGAAUGAUACAUAGUUCGGUUCAAUGAUCACUUCAUCAGAACGUCAGGUCAAGGUGCAACCUAUGAAAAGGCAAGUGAUGGGCUACAAUUUCUAACCUAGAACAAACGAAAUACUGCAUGAAACACAGGAACGAAGGAGGAUUUAGAAGUAAAGAGAAAAUAACGUGUUCUCUUUAACAUGGCCCUGGGACAUGUACACACCGCCCGUCGCCCUCUUCGAUACGAAUACUUCAGUUUUUAACCUAACAACAUAUGAGAGAAGAGGUAAGUCGUAACAUGGUAAGUGUACUGGAAAGUGCACUUGGAAUAA